rnacentral:rRNA from 1 species
AUUGAACGCUGGCGGUAGGCCUAACACAUGCAAGUCGAGCGAGCGGCGGACGGGUGAGUAAUGUCUGGGAAACCGCCUGAUGGAGGGGGAUAACCACUGGAAACGGUAGCUAAUACCGCAUACCAUCAGACGUGCCCAGAUGGUACUAGCUAGUAGGUGGGGUAAUGGCUCACCUAGGCGACGAUCCAGAGCUGGUCUGAGAGGAUGAACAGCCACACUGGAACGGAGACACGGUCCAUACUCCUACGGUAGGCAGCAGUGGGGAAUAUUGCACAAUGGGCGCAAGCCUGAUGCAGCCAUGCCGCGUGUAUGAAGAAGGUCUUCGGGUUGUAAAGCACUUUCAGCGAGGAGGCGUUACUCGCAGAAGAAGCACCGGCUAACUCCGUGCCAGCAGCCGCGGUAAUUC